AUUCUACACAUUGAGUUCCAAAGUAAAUGGCAAGACACUAAUAUUGUCAUGGACAUGAGACCCCAAUAGAUAAUUGUGAGACUUGGAGAGGAUCCACAAGCAUAAGACCUUGCCUAAGAAAAAUGAGCCUGGAUGUAGGAAGGUGGAGCCCAUAUCUAUGGUAAAGCAGAUAUUUUGAUGUACUUAACACUGAAGACACUUUGUGGAGAUACUAUAAGCAGG
rnacentral:lncRNA from 1 species